GUGAGACACCAGCAAUGGGCUCCAGGGCAGGCAGGGGGAGGAGGAGCCUUACCUUUUCUCGAUGGAAUCGAUGUUGGAGUGCAGCAGCCACAGCUCCUCGGAGUUAUCUUGAAGCCGGGAACUAAAAAUGAGAAACAUCCCAUGGAUGCUCAGAUGGAUUUUCUCCCAACACCUCCAGGCUGUGGCAGCUCCAUCCCCUCCCCAGGCUGCUCAGACCUCACCCCCCAGAGCCCUUCCCACCACAGUUCUCUCCAAGUUGUGCCACCCUGCAUGAUUUUGGGUUUCGGGGAGGCUCUGCUCCACAUGAGGAGUUCUCAGCAAGGAUCCAAGUCACCCUUUCUUUCCUCUGGAGCAGCUCCAUGCAAUGGGCCAAGUCUCAAGAUAUCUGCAAAGAUUCAUAAUAAGGAAGAUUAAUUCUCCCCUUACAGCAGCUGGCAAUGAUCCACAUCAUCAACCCCUCCAAAAGAGAAGAGGGGUCUAUUCCUAGGUCUGGAGAUGCCAGGACAUGGAAGUCUCAUCUGUAACUUAAAAUAAAAGGAUGUCUACACUGCUGCUUGCAGCCCAGUGUUGAGAAGCAGCACAGGACUAAUCCUCUCUGCAUUGUACUGAGCAGACUGGGAAGCCUUUGGUAUGAAUCCAGAGCUAAACACAA